AGAGUUUGAUCCUGGCUCAGAUUGAACGCUGGCGGCAGGCCUAACACAUGCAAGUCGAGCGGAUGAAGGGAGCUUGCUUCCUGAUUCAGCGGCGGACGGGUGAGUAAUGCCUAGGAAUCUGCCUGGUAGUGGGGGUCAACGUUCCGAAAGGAGCGCUAAUACCGCAUACGUCCUACGGGAGAAAGUGGGGGAUCUUCGGACCUCACGCUAUCAGAUGAGCCUAGGUCGGAUUAGCUAGUAGGUGGGGUAAUGGCUCACCUAGGCGACGAUCCGUAACUGGUCUGAGAGGAUGAUCAGUCACACUGGAACAUGAGACACGGUCCAGACUCCUACGGGAGGCAGCAGUGGGGAAUAUUGGACAAUGGGCGAAAGCCUGAUCCAGCCAUGCCGCGUGUGUGAAGAAGGUCUUCGGAUUGUAAAGCACUUUAAGUUGGGAGGAAGGGCAGUAAGUUAAUACC
rnacentral:rRNA from 1 species